CAGCAGCCGCGGUAAUACAGAGGGUGCGAGCGUUAAUCGGAUUUACUGGGCGUAAAGCGUGCGUAGGCGGCUUCUUAAGUCGGAUGUGAAAUCCCUGAGCUUAACUUAGGAAUUGCAUUCGAUACUGGGAAGCUAGAGUAUGGGAGAGGAUGGUAGAAUUCCAGGUGUAGCGGUGAAAUGCGUAGAGAUCUGGAGGAAUACCGAUGGCGAAGUCAGCCAUCUGGCCUAAUACUGACGCUGAGGUACGAAAGCAUGGGGAGCAAACAGGAUUAGAUACCCCUGUAGUCCCUGUCUCUUAUAC
rnacentral:rRNA from 1 species